rnacentral:rRNA from 1 species
GAUCAAGCGUCUUAAGUGCAUCUAGUGGAUGCCUUGGCGUGCACAGGCGAUGAAGGACGUAAUACGCUGCGAUAAGCGUCGGGGAGCUGCGAAUAAGCUUUGAUCCGAUGAUUUCCGAAUGGGGAAACCCGACCAUUUAGGUCACCCGAAAGGGAGCUAACCUGGGGAACUGAAACAUCUAAGUACCCAGAGGAAAGGACAUCAAACGAGACUCCGCUAGUAGUGGCGAGCGAACGCGGACCAGGCCAGUGGCAAUAGGGAAUAAAGUGGAAGAACCUGGAAAGGUUUGCCGAAGUGGG